AUUGAACGCUGGCGGCAGGCCUAACACAUGCAAGUCGAACGAGUGGCGGACGGGUGAGUAAUGUCUGGGAAACUGCCUGAUGGAGGGGGAUAACUAAUGGAAACGGUAGCUAAUACCGCAUACCAUCAGAUGUGCCCAGAUGGGAUUAGCUUGUUGGUGGGGUAACGGCUCACCAAGGCGAAGAUCCCUAGCUGGUCUGAGAGGAUGACCAGGCACACGCGAACGGAGACACGGUCCAGGGUCCUACGGGAGACAGAAGUGGGGAAGAUUGCACAAUGGGCGCAAGCCUGAUGCAGCCAUGCCGCGUGUAUGAAGAAGGCCUUCGGGUUGUAAAGUACUUUCGGCGGGGAGGCGUUACCCGCAGAAGAAGCACCGGCUGACUCCGUGCCAGCAGCCGCGGUAAUAC
rnacentral:rRNA from 1 species